GAGUACGGCCGCAAGGCUGAAACUUAAAGGAAUUGGCGGGGGAGGACUACAACGGGUGGAGCCUGCGGUUUAAUUGGACUCAACGCCGGAAAACUCACCGGGGGCGACAGCAAUAUGUAGGUCAGGUUAAAGGUCUUACCUGAAUCGCUGAGAGGAGGUGCAUGGCCGUCGUCAGUUCGUACUGUGAAGCAUCUUGUUAAGUCAGGCAACGAGCAAGACCCGUGCCCACUGUUACCAGCAUAUCCUUUAUGGAUGAUGGGGACUCUGUGGGGACCGCUGCUGCUAAAGCAGAGGAAGGUGCGGGCUACGGUAGGUCAGUAUGCCCCGAAUCUCCCGGGCUACACGCGGGCUACAAUGGUUGGGACAAUGGGUAUCUACUCCGAAAGGAGUUGGCAAUCUCUUAAACCCAACCGUAGUUCGAAUUGAGGGCUGUAACUCGCCCUCAUGAAGCUGGAAUCCGUAGUAAUCGCGUCUCAACAUAGCGCGGUGAAUCUGUCCCUGCUCCUUGCACACACCGCCCGUCAAACCAUCCGAGUGAGGUAUGGGUGAGGGCACGAACUUAGUGUCGUGCUCGAACCUAAAUUUCGCAAGGAGGGUUAAGUCGUAACAAGGUAGCCGUAGGGGAAUCUGCGGCUGGAUCACCUCCU
rnacentral:rRNA from 1 species